rnacentral:rRNA from 1 species
ACUCGAGUGGCGAACGGGUGAGUAACACGUGGGUGAUCUGCCCUGCACUUCGGGAUAAGCCUGGGAAACUGGGUCUAAUACCGGAUAGGAGCCAUUUUUAGUGUGAUGGUUGGAAAGUUUUUCGGUGUAGGAUGAGCUCGCGGCCUAUCAGCUUGUUGGUGGGGUAAUGGCCUACCAAGGCGGCGACGGGUAGCCGGCCUGAGAGGGUGGGCGGCCACAUUGGGACUGAGAUACGGCCCAG